UACGGGGGGGGCAAGCGUUGUUCGGAAUUACUGGGCGUAAAGGGUUCGUAGGUGGCCAACUCAGUCAGACGUGAAAUCCCUCAGCUCAACUGGGGAACUGCGUCUGAUACUAGAUGGCUUGAGUGCAGGAGAGGAACGCGGAAUUCCAGGUGUAGCGGUGAAAUGCGUAGAUAUCGGGAAGAACACCCGUGGCGAAGGCGGUUCUCUGGGACGGUACUGACGCUGAGACGCGAAAGCGUGGGGAGCGAACAGG
rnacentral:rRNA from 1 species